ACCAAGCUGAACUCCCCAUUGCCAAAGCAAUACUCCCUGCUGCUUCAACUCCCUUUUUGAGGAAAAGUGUACCUAGUGACCUUAAAAAGAACUGAAGAAACUUUCUUGCUCUGAAUCUUUCCCCUGUGUCUCUGCCUGGGCGAAUAACUGGACCUAACCAAGCUGAACUCCCCAUUGCCAAAGCAAUACUCCCUGCUGCUUCAACUCCCUUUUUGAGGAAAAGUGUACCUAGUGACCUUAAAAAGAACUGAAGAAACUUUCUUGCUCUGAAUCUUUCCC